rnacentral:tRNA from 1 species
GGUUGUGGCUCAGUGGUAAAGUGCUCACCUAGCAUUUGUGAGGCCCUGGGUUCAAUCCUCAGCACCA